rnacentral:rRNA from 1 species
AGUGAACGCUGGCGGUAGGCCUAACACAUGCAAGUCGAACGGCCGCACAGUAAGAGCUUGCUCUUACGGGUGGCGCGUGGCGGACGGGUGAGGAAUACAUCGGAAUCUACUUUUUCGUGGGGGAUAACGUAGGGAAACUUCCGCUAAUACCGCAUACGUCCUACGGGUGAAAGCAGGGGAUCUUCGGACCUUGCGCGAUUGAAUGAGCCGAUGUCGGAUUAGCUAGUUGGCGGGGUAAAGGCCCACCAAGGCGACGAUCCGUAGGUGGUCUGAGAGGAUGAUCAGCCAGACUGGAAGUGAGACACGGUCCAGACUCCGACAGGAGGCAGCAGUGGGGAAUAUUGGGCAAUGGGCGCGAGCCUGAUCCAGCCAUACCGCGUGGGUGAAGAAGGCCUUCGGGUUGGAAAGCCCUUUUGUUGGGAAAGAAAAACAGCAGUUUAAUACCCCGCUGUUCUGACGGUACCCAAAGAAUAAGCACCGGCUAACUUCGUG